AAAUUGAAGAGUUUGAUCAUGGCUCAGAUUGAACGCUGGCGGCAGGCCUAACACAUGCAAGUCGAACGGUAACAGGAAACAGCUUGCUGUUUCGCUGACGAGUGGCGGACGGGUGAGUAAUGUCUGGGAAACUGCCUGAUGGAGGGGGAUAACUACUGGAAACGGUAGCUAAUACCGCAUAACGUCGCAAGACCAAAGAGGGGGACCUUCGGGCCUCUUGCCAUCGGAUGUGCCCAGAUGGGAUUAGCUAGUAGGUGGGGUAACGGCUCACCUAGGCGACGAUCCCUAGCUGGUCUGAGAGGAUGACCAGCCACACUGGAACUGAGACACGGUCCAGACUCCUACGGGAGGCAGCAGUGGGGAAUAUUGCACAAUGGGCGCAAGCCUGAUGCAGCCAUGCCGCGUGUAUGAAGAAGGCCUUCGGGUUGUAAAGUACUUUCAGCGGGGAGGAAGGGAGUAAAGUUAAUACCUUUGCUCAUUGACGUUACCCGCAGAAGAAGCACCGGCUAACUCCGUGCCAGCAGCCGCGGUAAUACGGAGGGUGCAAGCGUUAAUCGGAAUUACUGGGCGUAAAGCGCACGCAGGCGGUUUGUUAAGUCAGAUGUGAAAUCCCCGGGCUCAACCUGGGAACUGCAUCUGAUACUGGCAAGCUUGAGUCUCGUAGAGGGGGGUAGAAUUCCAGGUGUAGCGGUGAAAUGCGUAGAGAUCUGGAGGAAUACCGGUGGCGAAGGCGGCCCCCUGGACGAAGACUGACGCUCAGGUGCGAAAGCGUGGGGAGCAAACAGGAUUAGAUACCCUGGUAGUCCACGCCGUAAACGAUGUCGACUUGGAGGUUGUGCCCUUGAGGCGUGGCUUCCGGAGCUAACGCGUUAAGUCGACCGCCUGGGGAGUACGGCCGCAAGGUUAAAACUCAAAUGAAUUGACGGGGGCCCGCACAAGCGGUGGAGCAUGUGGUUUAAUUCGAUGCAACGCGAAGAACCUUACCUGGUCUUGACAUCCACAGAACUUUCCAGAGAUGGAUUGGUGCCUUCGGGAACUGUGAGACAGGUGCUGCAUGGCUGUCGUCAGCUCGUGUUGUGAAAUGUUGGGUUAAGUCCCGCAACGAGCGCAACCCUUAUCCUUUGUUGCCAGCGGUCCGGCCGGGAACUCAAAGGAGACUGCCAGUGAUAAACUGGAGGAAGGUGGGGAUGACGUCAAGUCAUCAUGGCCCUUACGACCAGGGCUACACACGUGCUACAAUGGCGCAUACAAAGAGAAGCGACCUCGCGAGAGCAAGCGGACCUCAUAAAGUGCGUCGUAGUCCGGAUUGGAGUCUGCAACUCGACUCCAUGAAGUCGGAAUCGCUAGUAAUCGUGGAUCAGAAUGCCACGGUGAAUACGUUCCCGGGCCUUGUACACACCGCCCGUCACACCAUGGGAGUGGGUUGCAAAAGAAGUAGGUAGCUUAACCUUAGGGAGGGCGCUUACCACUUUGUGAUUCAUGACUGGGGUGAAGUCGUAACAAGGUAACCGUAGGGGAACCUGCGGUUGGAUCACCUCCUUA
rnacentral:rRNA from 1 species